rnacentral:rRNA from 1 species
GCCAGGGAACUACGAGCAAAGCUUAAAACCCAAAGGACUUGACGGUGCCCAUAUCCCACUAGAGGAGCCUGUCCUAUAAUCGAUGAUCCCCGUUUAACCUCACCCCUCCUGGCUAAUCAGCCUGUAUAUUUCCGUCGCAAACUAACCACAUGAGUGAAACUCAGUUAGUUCUAGGAUCCUACCAUCAACACGUCAGGUCAAAAUGCAGCAAAUGGAGUGGAAAGAGAUUGGCUACACUUUUUAAUAUAAAAGAAAACGAAAGACAAUAAUGAAACUUUGUCAGAAGGCGGAUUUAGCAGUAAAAAAAAUUCAUAAUAUUUAUUUGAAACCGGCACUGGAGCGUGU